rnacentral:rRNA from 1 species
UACGGGGGGUGCAAGCGUUGUUCGGAAUUACUGGGCGUAAAGGGCGCGUAGGCGGGCGGGCAAGUCCCUCGUGAAAGCCCACGGCUCAACCGUGGAAUUGCGGGGGAAACUGCUCGUCUUGAGUCCGGGAGAGGAGUGUGGAAUUCCCAGUGUAGCGGUGAAAUGCGUAGAUACUGGGAGGAACACCGGUGGCGAAGGCGGCACUCUGGACCGGUACUGACGCUGAGGCGCGAAAGCUAGGGGAGCAAACGGG